UACGGAGGAUCCGAGCGUUAUCCGGAUUUAUUGGGUUUAAAGGGAGCGUAGGUGGAUUGUUAAGUCAGUUGUGAAAGUUUGCGGCUCAACCGUAAAAUUGCAGUUGAUACUGGCAUCCUUGAGUACAGUAGAGGUAGGCGGAAUUCGUGGUGUAGCGGUGAAAUGCUUAGAUAUCACGAAGAACUCCGAUUGCGAAGGCAGCCUGCUGGACUGUAACUGACGCUGAUGCUCGAAAGUGUGGGUAUCAAACAGG
rnacentral:rRNA from 1 species